GAUGAACGCUAGCGGCAGGCUUAAUACAUGCAAGUCGAGGGACAGCACAGGUAGCAAUACUGGGUGGUAACCGGCAAACGGGUGCGGAACAAGUACACAACCUUCCUUUAAGUGGGGGAUAGCCCAGAGAAAUUUGGAUUAAUACCCCGUAAUAUAGUUGAAUGGCAUCAUUUGAUUAUUAUAGCUACGGCGCUUAAUGAUGGGUGUGCGGUUGAUUAGAUGGUUGGCGGGGUAACGGCCCACCAAGGCUACGAUCAGUAGGUGAGGUGAGAGCAAGAUCAGCCCAACGGGAGCGGCGACACUGGCACGACUGCGACGAGACGCAGCAGUAAGUAUCACUGGUCAAUCGACGCAAGUCUGAACCAGCCAUGCCGAGUGAGGGUUUAUGGUCCUCUGGAUUGUAUACUUGCUUUAUGUAGGACGAAAAAGUGCCUUCCUAGGUUAACUGACGGUACCAGAUGAAUAAGCACCGGCUAACUUCGUGCCAGCAGCCGCAGUAAUAC
rnacentral:rRNA from 1 species